AUACGGAGGGUGCAAGCGUUAUCCGGAAUCAUUGGGUCUAAAGGGUCCGCAGGCGGAUUAAUAAGUCAGUGGUGAAAUCCUCUCGCUCAACGAGAGAACUGCCAUUGAAACUGUUAGUCUUGAAUUCGGUCGAAGUAGGCGGAAUGUGUCAUGUAGCGGUGAAAUGCAUAGAUAUGACACAGAACACCGAUAGCGAAGGCAGCUUACUAGACCUGGAUUGACGCUCAUGGACGAAAGCGUGGGGAGCGAACAGGAUUAGAAACCCCAGUAGUCC
rnacentral:rRNA from 1 species